UUCAACAGGUAAGUCUGACAUGCUACCCUCGGCUUAAGUCCCUCUGUGGUCAGGAUAAUAUCUAGGCCUGAUAUCCGAGCUGAGUUUUGAAUAAAUUAGUUCAACAAGCAGAGGUGAGGGGGGAAAGAAUGGAAGUGAAAAUUCAUGUUUCCAAGUCAGGGCACCAGCACUCUGUACAAAUACCUAAAGCACUGCUUCUUCUAUUGUUAUUAGAAUCUCAAAACAAGUCUGUGAGAGAAAUACAGCAAGCAGCUUUCCCACUAUUUUGCAAGCAAGGAAACUAGUUUGUGGGAAGAAACAAGUGCAGUGGUUAAGAACACAGGCAUGGUGGUCAGACCCUCUUGGGUUGUAAACCUGGCUCUGUGUCAAGCCAGCUGUGAAAACAGUUAAUUCUCUGAUCCUGUAUUUCCUUGCCUAUUAGAUAAGAAUAAUUAAUCUCUACCUUAUGAGAUAAUUCAUGUAAAAUACUUUGUACAGGACUUGGGUACUUUGGAGGUGCUCAAUAAACUAGCUAUUUUGAUUGCAAUGGGUCCUAAGAGAGGGAAGAAACUGUUUUCUUCCACGAAUUUCUGGAAUUAGAGAAGUAUGCCUUAACAGUUAAUACUUCUACAGAGCUUGUUAUGCACCCCUCACUAUUAUAAGUACUUUGUGUAUAUUAACUCUUUUAAUCCUCUUAACAAUCUUUCGAGGUAUUAUUAUUAUUAUUUCCAUUUUACAGACACAGAAAUUAGGAUGCAGAGAAGUGAAGGGACUUGUCUAAGGCCAUACAGCUAGCAAGUGAUGGAGCUGGAAUUUGAACCCAGAGAGCUGAGGUUUCAGAGCAACCAAUUAACCUGAAUUCCAAAGAAGGACAGGAGCCUCCAAGAAGAAAUGGGAUGCAGACACUGGCAUACUUAUGAGGCAGGAGGAAGACAAGUUCUCUACACAAGCAACAGGUUAGCACUAUAAGAAACAGUAAAUGAAGUUCUGGAGGCAGAAAGAAUAUGAUACUAAAAAGAAACCUGGAUCUACAUAUUGAAAUGAAGAUCUCUGGAAAUGAAUGGAAUAAAACAUU